rnacentral:rRNA from 1 species
GCAAGUCGAACGGCAGCACGGGAGCAAUCCUGGGUGGCGAGUGGCGAACGGGUGGGUAAUAUAUCGGAACGUGCCCAGUCGUGGGGGAUAACGUAGAGAAAUUUACGCUAAUACCGCAUACGAUCUAAGGAUGAAAGCGGGGGAUCGCAAGACCUCGCGCGAUUGGAGCGGCUGAUAUCAGAUUAGGUUGUUGGUGAGGUAAAAGCUCACCAAGCCGACGAUCUGUAGCUGGUUUGAGAGAACGACCAGCCACACUGGGACUGAGACACGGCCCAGACUCCCACGGGAGGCAGCAGUGGGGAAUUUUGGACAAUGGGCGAAAGCCUGAUCCAGCAAUGCCGCGUGCAGGAAGAAGGCCUUCGGGUUGUAAACUGCUUUUGUACGGAACGAAAAGGUCUGCCCUAAUACGGCGGGCUCAUGACGGUACCGUAAGAAUAAGCACCGGCUAACUACGUGCCAGCAGCCGCGGUAAUACGUAGGGUGCGAGCGUUAAUCGGAAUUACUGGGCGUAAAGCGUGCGCAGGCGGUUAUAUAAGACAGUUGUGAAAUCCCCGGGCUCAACCUGGGAAUUGCAUCUGUGACUGUAUAGCUAGAGUACGGUAGAGGGGGAUGGAAUUCCGCGUGUAGCAGUGAAAUGCGUAGAUAUGCGGAGGAACACCGAUGGCGAAGGCAAUCCCCUGGACCUGUACUGACGCUCAUGCACGAAAGCGUGGGGAGCAAACAGGAUUAGAUACCCUGGUAGUCCACGCCCUAAACGAUGUCAACUGGUUGUUGGGUGCAUUAGUACUCAGUAACGAAGCUAACGCGUGAAGUUGACCGCCUGGGGAGUACGGCCGCAAGGUUGAAACUCAAAGGAGUUGACGGGGACCCGCACAAGCGGUGGAUGAUGUGGUUUAAUUCGAUGCUACGCGAAAAACCUUACCUACCUUUGACAUGUACGGAAUU